GCGGCCGCUUUCCGCCUCGGACUCGAGCGCGUCGAAGACAGCAGCGCCCACCAGCAGAUGCAGAGAACCCAAAGCCCUGCAGGAUGGCAAAGCUGCAACAUGGAAGUCACCUGGAUCACCAUGUAAAGGAAAUCUGCUCUCUAACCAGGAACAAACACCUGCCUUGCAAUAUUAGCUCCUUCCUAGGGCUUGGUGCAUGUGCAUAUCUCCUUCCGGAAUCCUGGUCAAUACUAAGGUGUCGGCCUCUUGCCCCGGUCCACAGCCAGGGGCCCUGGAGCCAACGGCCAGCCUGGAAGACUUAGCGUUCUCCCUCUGAGGGUUUCUGUGGCUUUCCAUGUCGUGGUGACUAAGUCCCUGUGUUUCUGUGCAGUCCCUGCUUCCUGGGACCAGGGAAGAAUGGGUACCCACUAUUCUGACCUCUGUGGCCACUGAUUAGUUGUUCCUGAGAGGAGCAGUUUUAAGCCACUUCUAUCUCUGAGGCAAGAAGGAAGACGGGAGAAAUGAGGAGGUGUGAGGAAGAGAGUUGG
rnacentral:antisense_RNA from 1 species